rnacentral:ncRNA from 1 species
AGGAGCCGUGUGCGGUAGUUCCGCAAGCACGGUUCUGAGAGGGGUACGGAACACAAUCUGCCGAAAGGCAGAAAGGUUCCCUCCUACUCGAC